CUGCCCCAUCAGCCAUCGCUGCCUGUCCCCUCCCUGACCCUGGCACCCACGCAUCCCCUCCCUGUCUCUGUGGAUUGGCCUGUCCUGGACAUUUCAUAGAAAUGGGAUCACACGGUGCGCAGCCUUCUGUGGCUGGCGUCUCUCACGGAGUGUGACGUCCUCAGCCAGUGGAAUCCUGAAGGGCUUCGACCCACUUCUCAACCUUGUGCUGGACGGCACCAUUGAGUACAUGCGAGACCCUGACGACCAGUACAAGCUCACGGAGGACACCCGGCAGCUGGGCCUCGUGGUGUGCCGGGGCACAUCCGUGGUGCUGAUCUGCCCGCAGGACGGCAUGGAGGCCAUCCCCAACCCCUUCAUCCAGCAGCAGGACACCUAGCCUGGCCAGGGGUGCAGAGGGUGCAGGGCAGGCCCGAGCAGCUCCGUUUCCCGCGGACUUGGCUGCUGCAACGGAAGCAUUUUCCUUUUUGUAUAGGUUGAAUUUUUGUUUUCUUAAUAAAAUUGCAAACCUCAA
rnacentral:sRNA from 1 species